GAGCGUGUUAAUCUGCGUGGCUCCACCACGCGAUACCGGGGAUUGGGACGUAACACCAUCAACAGAACCCCAAAAAAUGUCUAGCCUUAUGGCUGAAAGCCGUCUCCAGUGACCUCUGGGCAUUCACACACACAAUGAUCAUACAUCAUAAUAUCGUUUGAUAAUAGCGGCAGCGGUUCCCGGAAGGAAACGGCCAGGCGGAGAUGAAAACAUAGACGAAACAUCGCUCGCUUCCCAAAAGGAAAGAACCGGACGACACUUUCAUAACCCAUCCUGCCCUAGGAAAGGGCAGACCACGGCAGGAUCGGCAUGCGUGCCGUAUGUUUCCGAGCAUCAAACCUGAAGCACAAGCCUCCCGUUUGGCGUGAUGCUGGUUAUCGAUUUAAGGGACACAACCAACACGGAGUUCGUGGAAGCGUUGCUUCGUACGGCCUAACGCGACGCCACCGAGAACUGGGAGCCCUAAAUCUCGUCCUAGCGUGUCGUCCUGUUUUCGUUCGAUCCAGGAAAAACUAAACUCGCACACAAACAGUCCGUUAUCGCUAAAAAUGGGUAGAGAAGCCAAAAAUGCUUUAACACUUUCUGUCGGCCAAAUGCGUACCCGUUUUGUGUAAAAAUAAAAAACACACAUACACUUUUCGCCCGUCAAAAAACGCGAGACGACGAAACCAA